UGGGGAAUUUUGCGCAAUGGGCGAAAGCCUGACGCAGCGAUUCCGCGUGAAGGAUGACGCAUUACGGUGUGUAAACUUCUUUUUUGGUGGAAGACGAAUGACGGUACGCCAAGAAUAAGGGACGGCUAACUACGUGCCAGCAGCCGCGGUAAUACGUAGGUCCCGAGUGUUAUCCGGAAUUACUGGGCGUAAAGAGUCUGUAGCUUGAUGCAAAAGUCUGUUUUCAAAUCUCUCGGCUCAACCGAGAAAAGGGAAUAGAUACUUUGUAUCUAGAGAUCAUUAGGGGUUAGUGGAAUUUCCGGUGGAGCGGUGAAAUGCGUUGAUAUCGGAAGGAAUGCCGAAAGCGAAAGCAGCUAACUAUGGUGAAUCUGACAGUGAGAGACGAAAGCUUGGGGAGCAAACAGG
rnacentral:rRNA from 1 species